rnacentral:misc_RNA from 1 species
UUAAGUUCAGCGGGUAGUCCUACCUGAUUUGAGGUCAAGCUUAAAAGUGUAUGCCUGGAAGGCAGUCCGAAGACAAUUAGAAGCUGAACACACAAGUCCACAGCAACGGCAUAGAUAGGAUUAUCAAACCAAAGCUGGUCCUUCACAGUUCCGCUAAUGCAUUUAAGAAGAGCUGAUAGUGAUACCAGCAAGCUCCCAUA